CUACGGGGCGCAGCAGUAGGGAAUAUUGCGCAAUGGAGGAAACUCUGACGCAGCGACGCCGCGUGAGUGAUGAAGGCCCUCGGGUUGUAAAGCUCUGUUCUUAGGGAAUAAAAAAAUGAAGGUACCUAAGAAGAAAGGACCGGCUAACUUCGUGCCAGCAGCCGCGGUAAGACGAGGGGUCCAAGCGUUGUUCGGAAUCAUUGGGCGUAAAGCGGGUGUAGGUGGCUGAAUAAGUCAGAAGUGAAAGCCCCGGGCUCAACCCGGGAAGUGCUUUUGAUACUGUUUGGCUUGAGUGUGGUAGAGGAUAGUAGAAUUCCAGGUGUAGUGGUGAAAUACGUAGAUAUCUGGAGGAACACCGGAGGGGAAGCCGGCUGUCUGGACCAACACUGACACUCAGACCCGAAAGCGUGGGGAGCAAACAGGAUUAGAUACCCGUGUAGUC
rnacentral:rRNA from 1 species